rnacentral:rRNA from 1 species
GGACCGCUCGUCUUGACAUGCCUAAUACAUGCAAGUCGAGCGAAUGGAUUAAGAGCUUGCUCUUAUGAAGUUAGCGGCGGACGGGUGAGUAACACGUGGGUAACCUGCCCAUAAGACUGGGAUAACUCCGUGGAAACCGGGGCUAAUACCGGAUAACAUUUUGCACUGCAUGGUGCGUAAUUGAAAGGCGGCUUCGUGCUGUCACUUAUAGGAUAGGACCCGCGUACGCAUUAGCUAGUNUGGUGAGGUAACGGCUCACCAAGGCAACGAUAGCGUAGCCGACCUAGAGAGUGGUGAUACGGCCACACUGGGACUAGAGACACGGCCCAGACUCCUACGGGAGUGCAGCAGUAGGGAAGGGGUUUUCCCUUUUUUUUUUUCCAACCCCAUGGGGAGACCCGCGAAAAACAAC